UUCGUUCAUACUUACACAUGCAUG
rnacentral:siRNA from 1 species